rnacentral:rRNA from 1 species
UACGUAGGGUGCGAGCGUUGUCCGGAAUUAUUGGGCGUAAAGAGCUCGUAGGCGGUGUGUCACGUCGGCCGUGAAAACCUGCAGCUUAACUGUGGGCGUGCGGUCGAUACGGGCAUCACUGGAGUUCGGCAGGGGAGACUGGAAUUCCUGGUGUAGCGGUGAAAUGCGCAGAUAUCAGGAGGAACACCGGUGGCGAAGGCGGGUCUCUGGGCCGAUACUAACGCUGAGGAGCGAAAGCGUGGGGAGCAAACAGG